GAAACACCCUCAGGGCCAAGACUUGCUUCAGUGGGGCUUUGGUGCUCACUGAGUCUGCCCCCUGAAUAUGUCUCU
rnacentral:pre_miRNA from 1 species